rnacentral:misc_RNA from 1 species
AAUAUUUAUAGUUCUCAUUAAAUUAAAGGAAACCAUGUCCCAAAAAAUACUUCAAUAGCCUGUGGAUACUUUAGCAGAUUAGUAGUUCUUUUCGUAGUAAACUGAGAAAAUGUUCAUGAUAAAUUCUUAGGAACUACUGUCAAGGAUAAAAUUCGUUAGAAAUACUGCAAUGCUAUUAUUGAUCCGGUUUCAAUCAAAGCAGUACCUA